GGCGCGGUCGGGCGGGGUCAGCACGUCUGCGGCGACGGUGAUCCCGGCCUUGCCCCGCCGCCCCCCACAGCCUCGGCCCGGGCGUCGGGGCACCCACGACUGGCAAAGGCUCAGAUGAGCCCCCAUCUCCCCAGCUGACUCCAGGCCAACGUUUGUUGGUGUUCUCUGAGAACCCAUAGGGCGUGGCAGUGAGGCACAGCUGUGAGCAGGUACCUGCAGAGCAGGGUGGAUGGUGUGAAGAAAGGGGCUGGCUCAGAACUAGGCCUUCAGCUUGAAGGCCUCAAGGUGUCACACGCUAGAGGCGGAGGGAGAUUUGGCCCAGGAGAAGGCAACGUGACUGUGAAGCAAGAUGCUAGACUGCUGGCUUGGACGUUGGAGGAAGACGCCAUGAGCCUAGGAGCGCCAGGAACAGAGCACUGGAGGCUGGAAAUGCGAGGUGAGGACACACCCUCUAGAGCCUCCACAGGGAGUGUGGCUGAACCAACACAGGGAACUCAGCCCAGUGACACUGAUUUUGGACUUCUGAACUCUGGAGCUGUGAGAGAAUAAAUGUGUGUUGUUUUAAGCCACCAACUUUGUGGUAUCUUGUUAGAGCAGUCAUAGAAAAUGAACACAGUAUCUCU